AUACAGCUGAUGAGUCCCAAGUAGGACGAAACUCGCGUACUGGAU
rnacentral:hammerhead_ribozyme from 1 species